rnacentral:rRNA from 1 species
UACGGAGGGUGCAAGCGUUGUCCGGAUUUAUUGGGUUUUAAGGGUGCGUAGGCGGCCCGUUAAGUCAGUGGUGAAAGCCUCCAGCUCAACUGGAGAACUGCCAUUGAUACUGGCGGGCUUGAGUACAGACGAGGUUGGCGGAAUUGAUUGUGUAGCGGUGAAAUGCAUAGAUACAAUCAAGAACACCGAUUGCGUAGGCAGCUAACUAGGCUGUAACUGACGCUGAGGCACGAAAGCGUGGGGAGCGAACAGG